rnacentral:rRNA from 1 species
GACGAACGCUGGCGGCGUGCUUAACACAUGCAAGUCGAACGGAAAGGCCCUGCUUUUGUGGGGUGCUCGAGUGGCGAACGGGUGAGUAACACGUGAGUAACCUGCCCUUGACUUUGGGAUAACUUCAGGAAACUGGGGCUAAUACCGGAUAGGAGCUCCUGCUGCAUGGUGUUGGUUGGAAAGUUUCGGCGGUUGGGGAUGGACUCGCGGCUUAUCAGCUUGUUGGUGGGGUAGUGGCUUACCAAGGCUUUGACGGGUAGCCGGCCUGAGAGGGUGACCGGCCACAUUGGGACUGAGAUACGGACCAGACUCCUACGGGAGGCAGCAGUGGGGAAUAUUGCACAAUGGGCGGAAGCCUGAUGCAGCAACGCCGCGUGCGGGAUGACGGCCUUCGGGUUGUAAACCGCUUUCGCCUGUGACGAAGCGUGAGUGACGGUAAUGGGUAAAGAAGCAACAGCUAACUACGUG